GGGUGCUUUCCAGGUGUUCUGUAAAUGACAGACACGGGCUUCUUCCAACACACUAGCACAAACAUCUUCUUCCUAAAACUCCAUAGCUUCAACGGAGAAUAUUUCUUUGGUUUUUUUGUGUGUGUCUGUGUGCUGUCAUACUUUUAGUGCCAGCAGAAAGCGGACACCUUACCCCUCUGAGCAAGAGGUGCUGGGCUGGUGCCAAGCCCAGGGAAAGCCAGCAAAGUCCCUGCGAGCAGCAGCAAAGCUGAAAGUUGUCUCGGAGGAAAUUGCUAGACCAAGACAGGGAUUUGUUCCUGCUUUAUGUUCGUGUUCAGCCUGGGAAGCUGAAGUCUUCCAAGGAAGCAACCAAGUAUCAGCAAGCAGAUUCUGUUCCUUACUCCUGAGAAGCUAAAUCCGAAGAAAGAAAGACAAGAUUUUCUUCUGAGAUGUGGUGUGACUACAGGUUCUGCUAUUUGUUUAUGAUGUUCCACCAGUUUACAUAGUCACAGCUGCUUAUUUAGUACAUAGGUAAUCCUGUAGCAAAAUAAUGUUAACACAGUCAUUCUUAUGACACUUCUGGGUCUGGUAUUAAGGAUACCAACAGAGGAGUGAGGGUAUCCCCGUGCUUCUUGGUCUUUGCCUGCCACUGAGCUCCACAGUGCCAGAAGAGUUCAGCUGCCUUAGGUGAUGACAAUAAGGAAAGAACAUUUACUGCAGGUUGUAGGUACUCAUCUAAGCACUAUGUGGUGUGCUGUAAUUGCAGGCUGCAUUAGGUCAUGCUUUGUCACAAGGCUUAUUCCAAACAGAAGUCGCUUCCAUUGGAUUGUCCUUGCAGCAGCAACGUAAAUGAACAAGCUUGGGCAGCUUUGCCAGAAAUGUCUAAAACUAAAUAAUUAGUCAACAGCCAUUCAUGCAGCAUAUGACAGAAGUGCUAUUAUUGUCAGGGAGAGUACGGAGCCUGUGACUACAACUCACCACUCAAUCUGAACAGUUAGUUGAACAUAACACGCUUGUAAUAAUAUUUAAAGCUUAAUAUCUGAUGCGUGUAUGAGAGUCCAAAUUCACAUGACAUACAAGAAAAAAACAACGACUGGUACAUUAGAGACAUGAAUUCCUUUUAAGUUAGCUAAGGAAAUUGGCAGGUAGUUCUUAAGAACUUGUUUGUAUACAAAUCCCUUUCUGCUGCUGGAAAUCCAGCAGCAAUGUUCAAACUUUAGGCAAAAGUGCUCACAAGCUGCCUACAGACCUGUAGUCCUCAGGUAAUAAAGGAGGGGGAAAGAGCCCUCACUUAUUCCAAGUGCUCUGCAGCAUUUUGAGAAGAAAAACGAAUGUGAAUCCUAGGGAUAGUGGGCCACAGUGCUGAUACAGCAUGCCCUACAGAAGUAAGUUGGGUGCAAGGCCAUGAUGAUGCAGCUACGCUGUCAUGGGUUCCAGACACACUCCCUUUGCAGUUAGCUGAGACAGUUAGCUGGACUGUUUUCCACUGCCCAGUGUACAAAAUGCCCAAUGUUUGUAUAGCCCUUAGCAAAAUAGGACCCUAUUCUUGAUUGGCCUCAAAACAGCACAGUGAUUCUAAUUAUAAAUACCAGGGAAAUAAAUGAUCACAGAAGGCAUUUGAUGUAUUUUUUCCAGCAUGCAACAGCAGUACCAAUACGUACAAGAGCACAAUGCAAUCAGAUUCUGAUGUAUGCAAUAUAUUUUUAACACAAUGGACUUCAUCCAGACUUUUCUGGCACCAUCUUCUAUUGUCUUUCAUCACUUUGCAGUGAAGUCAUGUAGGGUACUCCAGACUUGAGGUGGCUGUGGUCUAGUGCUGAGAUUAAUGCUGAAUAAAAAUCAAGUUAGUUAGUAGAGCUUAAAUAACUGUUAGGCAAAUGAAUAUUUGUUUGUGUAAAGAAACAACUGCUGAAUAGAUGAAGUAAGUCAUUUUUGUCUCUGUCUUCCUAUAGUGUGCUGCAAAAUAAACGCAGAUCUGAGAGAGAGACCCACUUCUGCUGCUGCCCACUCCUUUCUACUUUAAUAUUGUAAAUAAAUGAUUUGGAAAAAAACAAUAUCAUAAAAUAAUAAUAAUUAGAAUUCCACUGAUGUCCCUUUUAUG
rnacentral:lncRNA from 7 species